AUGCGGCGAGACCAACCUCGGGUGCUGGGCUCCGAGGAUCUCCUUCUGGCCGUACUUCCUCCAGCUGCGGCCGUCGUCGACCGGGGCGUCCGCCCCUUCUCCGGCCGAGCUCACCCUGAUCUGACGCCCCCCUUUCUCCGAAGUCUUCCUGCGAAUCCAAGAACAAACCAAUCACUCAAUAAUCCAGCAAAAAAAAGAAAGAAAUAUUAUGAUUGA
rnacentral:rRNA from 1 species